rnacentral:tmRNA from 1 species
GGGGGUGAACGGUUUCGACUCUGGACGUUGAGUCAGGGGAAGCGUGCAGGUGCAGGCGACCGACCACCUGAAGCGUCGUCGCGAAAAAAACAAGCGCCAAGACUAAUCGCGCUGAGUUCGCCCUCGCCGCCUGAGCGAGUGCGACUCUGUCGGCCCGGGAGCGCCUCCGUCCCGGCUUGCCGGCAUCAGCUAGGAGGCUCACCGUCAGCCCCGGUCGCGGGGGCUGAACGGGACACCCACAGCGACUGGGCCCGUCACACCGGCUCGUCCGCGUGACCGGUGGGGCCGAGCAGAGGCACAGCGGACUGCGCACGGAGAAGCCCUGGCGAGGCGCCAGAGGACCCGGGUUCGAUUCCCGGCACCUCCACCA